rnacentral:rRNA from 1 species
AUGACGGAAAGGAUGGAUCGCCGCCGCGGGAGCGCGCUGCGGAAGCGGCCGCCGGCGAUAGACGCGACGCGCGCCGAGUCGGAGACGGGCGAGGGCCGCGAGGAGCCGGUGAGCCCGACGGGGCGGCUGUUCCGGGAGCCGCACUUCAGCUGCUACAUCGUGUCCGUGUUCGGCCUCGGCGCGCGGGUCGACCUGGCCGCCGUCCGGGCCGGGCUCGAGGCCACCCUUGCGCGCCACCCCCGCUUCUGCAGCAUCCAGGUGAUGGACGAGCUGGAGGAGGACGCGAGGCCCAAGUGGGUCCGGACCACGGUGGACCUCGACGACCACGUCGUCGUCCCGGACCUGGAGCCCACCGGCACGUCGGCAGACCCAGACAGGGCCCUGGAGAGCUACGUGUCGUCUCUGUCCACGCGCCCCAUGGACCACUCCCGCCCGCUCUGGGAGCUGCACGUCCUCGACUUCCCCACCUCCGACGCCGACGCCGCCGUCGUGCUCCGCGUGCACCACUCCGUCGGCGACGGCGUCUCGCUCCUGUCCCUCUUCAUCGCCUGCACCCGCCGCGCCGCGGACCCGGACGCGCUGCCGGAGCUGCCGGCCACCGCCGCCCCCCGUCGCUCUGGCCCCGUGUACGCCCUGCCUUCGGGCCCGCUGCUCGCGCCGUCGUCAUGGGGCGCCCUGGCGGCCCUCGCCGCGUGGGUCGUGUCGCUGCUCCUGCUCGCGUGGCACACGCUGGUGGACAUUCUGUGCUUCUCCGCGACGGCGACGUCGAUGCUGCGCGACCCGCCCACGCUGUUCAAGGGCGCGGAGGGCGUGGAGUUCCGGCCCAAGCGCUUCGUGAACCGCACGCUCAGCCUCGACGACGUCAAGUACGUCAAGAACACCAUGAACUGCACGGUGAACGAUGUGCUGCUUGGGGUGACCUCUGCGGCAUUGUCUCGGUUUUAUUUUCGGAAAACAGGAGAAAGUGGUAGAAAGAGCAUCAAGGUGCGGUCCACUCUUCUUGUGAACCUGAGGAAGACGCCCGGUCUACAUGCACUGGCUACGAUGAUGCAGUCCGGCAAGGACAACGGCGCCGAGUGGGGGAAUCGGCUUGGCUACAUGAUACUCCCGUUCCACAUAGCCAUGCACGACGACGACCCUCUCGAGUACGUCCGGAAGGCCACCAAGGUCGCGCGCAGGAAGAAGAGCUCCAUGGAAUCGAUCUUCACCUACUGGAGUGCGUCCAUGAUCAUGAAAAUCUUUGGAAUCAAGGCAGCAGCUUCUCUGUGCUACGGCAUGAUGAGGAACACCACCCUGUCCUUCUCCAACAUGGCCGGUCCAACCGAGCAGGUGGUGUUCUACGGCCACCCGAUUGUCUACAUUGCCCCCAGCGUCUAUGGCCACCCACAUGCACUGACCAUGCAUUAUCAGAGUUACAUGAACAUUAUCAAGCUAGUACUAGCAGUAGAGGAGGAACAGUUUCCGGAUGCUCAUGAGCUUCUGGAUGACUUUGCCGUGUCUCUCAAGCUCAUUCGGGAGGCAGCUUCAGCAAAAAACACAAGACACACAUAA